AAAUUGAAGAGUUUGAUCAUGGCUCAGAUUGAACGCUGGCGGCAGGCCUAACACAUGCAAGUCGAACGGUAACAGAAAGCAGCUUGCUGCUUUGCUGACGAGUGGCGGACGGGUGAGUAAUGUCUGGGAAACUGCCUGAUGGAGGGGGAUAACUACUGGAAACGGUGGCUAAUACCGCAUAACGUCGCAAGACCAAAGAGGGGGACCUUCGGGCCUCUUGCCAUCAGAUGUGCCCAGAUGGGAUUAGCUUGUUGGUGAGGUAACGGCUCACCAAGGCGACGAUCCCUAGCUGGUCUGAGAGGAUGACCAGCCACACUGGAACUGAGACACGGUCCAGACUCCUACGGGAGGCAGCAGUGGGGAAUAUUGCACAAUGGGCGCAAGCCUGAUGCAGCCAUGCCGCGUGUAUGAAGAAGGCCUUCGGGUUGUAAAGUACUUUCAGCGGGGAGGAAGGUGUUGCGGUUAAUAACCGCAGCAAUUGACGUUACCCGCAGAAGAAGCACCGGCUAACUCCGUGCCAGCAGCCGCGGUAAUACGGAGGGUGCAAGCGUUAA
rnacentral:rRNA from 1 species